rnacentral:lncRNA from 1 species
AGUGCCGCUGCACUCCAGCCUGGGUGACAGAGACCCUGUCUCAAAAAAAACAACACAUAAAGAAAAAUAAACACAAACCAAAAAACAAAAAACCUCUCAAAACUUAACAGUAAGAAAACAACAAUACAUUUAGAAAAUGGGCAAAAAAAAAGACAAACCAGAUAUUUCAUCAAAGAGGAUAUACAAAUAGAAAAUAAGCACAAGCAAAGAUGUUCAAUAUAAUUAGCCAUUAGGGAAAUGGAAAAUAAAACUACAGUGAGAUCUCAUUACAUAUCUAUCAGAAUGGCUAAAAUAAAAAACAGUACCACCACCAAAUAUUGGUAAGGAUGCUGGGAAAUUGGAUCACAUGUACGUUGCUGAUGGAAUGUAAAAUGGUAUAGCUGCUCUGGAAAAUAGUUUGGCAGUUUCUUCUAAAACUAAAAAUGCACUUAUGAUAUGAUCCAGCAAUUGAACUCUGGGGCUUUAUCCUGAAGAAAUGAAAACUUACGUUUAGAAAAAAAACCAGUAUAUAAAUGUUCAUAGCAGCUUUAUUCAUAAUGGCCCCAAACUAGAAACAACCCAAAUGUCUUUCCACAGGUGAAUGGUUAAACAACUGUGGAAUAUCCGUACCAGGGAAUACAGGGAAUACUACUCAGCAAUAAAAAGGAAUGAACAACCAAUACGUGCAGUGAGUUGGACAGACUCCAGGAAAUUACGCUUAGUGAAAAGCCAGCUUCAAAAGGUUAUAUACUGUACAAUCCCAUCUAUAUAAUAUUCUUGAAAUAAUAUAUUUAUAGAGAUGGAAAACAGAUUAGUGGUUGCCAGGGGUUAGGAUUGGGGGCUGAAAGGCGGUAGGGAUGGUUCUAAAGCAUAGAGCAGGAAGGAGCUUUGAGUGUUGGGAAAGUUCUGCAUCUUGAUUAUAGUAAUAGUUACAUGAAGCUACAUGUGUGAUAAAAUUGCACAGAACCCCACACACACACGCACACAAGUGCAAGAUAACUUGUGAAAUCUGAUUAAAGUCAGUGGAUACCAAUGUCAGUUUCACGAUGUUGAUAUAUACUAAAGCUAUGCAAGACAUGAAAAAUGGGGAAGGACGGGUGAAGGGUGCAUAAGACCUCUCUGUACAUUUUUAAAACAACUUCCUGUGAAUCUAUAAUUAUUUCAAAAUAAAAAGCUUUAAACAAGUAAACACAACAAAAAAAGUAAACCCAAGUAAAACCGAAGAAGAUCUGACACAGCAUUCCAGAAAGUUUUACACAGAAAAGGGUUACUCAGUCACUUGGGGGAUACUUUCUCAAUUAACAGUAGCUGAUUACCCUGUCCAGAUGCUGGAGCCCCUUGUUCUCAUCUUCUGCUGCCUGGCCUGAGCUGGUGGAGAUGCCCAGUUGCGGCUCCUCACCAGCUUACACAAGAAACUGUCAGGGGCAACCAGAAGGAAAAUAAAAUAAAAUUAAAAAAAAAAAAAAAAAAAAAAAAGAAAAGUUCACUGAAGACAGAACUUCUGUCUAAAGAAUAAGGAGUAUAGCAAGAGAACGUCAUCGUCAAGGCCGUGAAUCACUGGAUCAGUAAAUUCCACAGCAAGCAGCACAAGAUGAAGGUGAUGAGAAAGUGAAGAAAGAUGACGAAUGAAUUGCAGAAACUGAGCGAGCAGUUAAAAAAUGUUCUUGCUUCUCAAAAAUAAGGUACACAUCUCAAACCAAUGGUAUGCACAUUCUUCAAGAAAGGGCAGUCAGAGGAAAAAGCGGCUUCAAACAUGAGUCUGAGUACUGUUUUCUUCAUAAAGGAAACUACUUAGGCAUUUUUGGUGUUGCUUUGGAUUAUCAAUCAGAUGGAUAUUAAGGUAUUUAUUUUUGGCCAGGCAUGGUGGCUCAUGCUUAUAAUCCCAGCACUUUGGGAGGCUGAGGUGGGAGCAUCACUUGAGCCCAGGAAUUCGAGACCAGCCUAGGCAAUACAGUGUGAGACCCAGGAGGUUGAGGCUGCAGUAUUGUGGAGUGAUUAUGUCACUGCACUCCAGCCUGGGUGACAGACCAAGACCCUGUCUCAAAAAAAUAAAUAAAAAUAAAUAAAUAAAUAAAUAAAUAAAAAUAAAAAAGAUUUAAUUUUGAUUUAAAAAAAUAUUUUUGUAGGCCAGGCACAGUGGCUCACACCUGUAAUCCCAGCGCUUUGAGAGGCUGAGGCGGAUGAUCACUUGAGGCCAGGAAUUCGAGACCAGCCUGUGGGCCACCGUGGCGAAACCCCAUCUCUACAAAAAAUACAAAAAUUAGCCGGGUGUGGUGGCGUGUGCCUGUAGUCCCAGCUACUUGGGAGGCUGAGGCAGGAGAAUCGCUUGAACCCGGGAGGCGGGGUUGCAGUGAACUGAGAUUGUGCCACCGCACUCCAGCUUGGGUAAGAGAGCACGAUUCUGUCUCAAAAAACAAAGGUUUGUUUUUUUUGUUUGUUUUGAGAUGGAGUCUCACUCUGUCACCCAGGCUGGAGUGUAGUGGUACAAUCUUAGCUCACUGUAACCUCUGCCUCCCGGGUUCAAGCGAUUCUCCUGCCUCAGCCUCCCGAGUAGCUGGAAUUACAAGUGCCCACCACCACACCCAGCUACUUUUUGUAUUUUUAUUAGAGAUGGGUUUCGCUAUGUUGGCUAGGCUGGUCUUGAACUCCUGACCUCAAGUGAUCCACCCACCUCGACCUCCCAAACUGUUGGGAUUACAGGAGUGAGCCACCGUGCCUGGACAAAAAAAACUUUUUGUUUUUUUUAAGUGCCAGCAGUAAAUGAAUUUUAUUUUAGGUAAACUUUGCUGAAAAGUGGAGACUAAAAGGGAUUCAACCUGCAUAUACCUUUUUUAAAAACGUGAAUUUAAGCCCUGUAUUCCUUAUUUUUUUUAAUUAUACUCUAAGUUCCAGGGUACAUGUGCACAACGUGCAGGUUUGUCACAUAUGUAUACAUGUGCCAUGUUGGUGUGCUGCACCCAUCAACUCGUCAUUUACAUUGGGUGUAUCUCCUAAUGCUAUCCCUCCCCUUCCCCCAAACCCACGACAGAAAAAAAAAAAAAACUUUUUGUAGAGACAGGGUCUUGUUUUGUUGACCAAGCUGGUCUCAAACUCCUGGCCUCAAGUGAUCCUCCUGUCUCAGCCUCCCAAAGUGCAAGAAUUAGAGGCAUGAGCCACUGCACCUAGCCCUAGAUAUAUACAAACAGACACACAUACACACAAUUUAAUUUAAUUUUAUUUAUUUAUGAAUGAGACAGGCUCUCGCUCUGUUGCCCAGGGUGGAGUGCAGUGGCGCAAUCAUAGCUCACUGUAGCCUCAACUUUCCAGGUUCAAGCAAUCCUCCCACCUCGGCCUCCCAACCUCCUGGUCUCAAAUUCCUGAACUCAAGUGAUCCUCCGGCCUUGAACUCCCAAAGUGCUGGGAUUACAGGUGUGAACCACCACACCCGGCCCAUUAUUUAUUUUUUAAUUGGCAGCAUCAACUGCAAUACUCUGAUAAAUAGCCCCUUUGCCAAUGUAUCUGUAAUUACAAAUCAAACAUUUUCUAAAAAGUAGGUGAUUUUAUCAGAAUCAAACAUGUUUGCUUUUCAAAAGACAAAAUGAAAAGGAAAGCUACAGAAAAUUAUCUCACUGGGAGAAAAUAAUUGUAAAAGAUACAUCUGACAAAGGACUCAGAACUGAGGUAUAUAAAGAACUCUUUCAACUCAGCAAAAUAAAUAAAAAAUUGGGCAAAGAAGAUAUAUGGAUGGCAAGUAGGUACAUGAAAAGAUGCUCAACAUUACUAAUCAUUAGGGAAAUGCAGAUCAAAAUCACACAUACAACUCCAUACCCAACAGCAUGGCAAUAAUAAAACAGAUGGAUGAACAAUAACAAGCAUUGGAGAGGAUAUCAAGUAACUGAAAUUCUCACACACUGCUUUAACAAUGUUAAAUGAGACCGGGGCACAGUGACUCACACCUGUAACCCCAGCACUUUAGAAGGCUGAGGUGUGUGGAUGGCUUGCGGUCAGGAGUUCGAGACUGGCCUGAUCAACAUGGUGAAACCCCAUCUCUAUUAAAAACACAAAAAAUAUUGGGCGUGGUGGCAGGCACUGUAAUGCCAACUACGCAGGAGAAUAGCUUGAACCUGGGAGGUGGAGGUUGUAGUGAGCCGAGACCACGCCACUGCACUACAGCCUGGGUGACAAAGUGAGACUUGAUUCAAAAAAAAAAAAAAAAGUUAAAUAAUAUAACCACUUUGGCAGUAUCUUAAAAAGUUAAACACCAGGCUGGGUGCGGUGGCUCAUGGCUGUAAUCUCAGCACUUUGGGAGGCCAAGGUGGGUGGAUCACUUGAGGCCAGG